rnacentral:rRNA from 1 species
ACUACGGGAGUCAGCAGUGAGGAAUAUUGGUCAAUGGGCGCGAGCCUGAACCAGCCAAGUAGCGUGAAGGAUGACUGCCCUACGGGUUGUAAACUUCUUUUAUAAAGGAAUAAAGUGAGGCACGUGUGCCUUUUUGUAUGUACUUUAUGAAUAAGGAUCGGCUAACUCCGUGCCAGCAGCCUCGGUAAUACGGAGGAUCCGAGCGUUAUCCGGAUUUAUUGGGGUUAAAGGGAGCGUAGAUGGGUUUUUAAGUCAGUUGUUAAAGUUUGCGGCUCAACCGUAAAAUUGCAAUUGAUACGUGCAGUCUUGAGUACAGUGGAGGUAGGCGGAAUUCGUGGGGUAGCGGUGAAAUGCUUAGAUAUCACGAAGAACUCCGAUUGCGAAGGCAGCUUACUAAACUGCCACUGACAUUGAUGCUCGAAAGUGUGGGUAUCAAACAGGAUUAGAUACCCUUGUAGUC